UUAGUACUCCCUCCAUCCGAAAAUACUUGUUGAAGAAAUUUAUAAAAAUGGAUGUAUCUAGAACUAAAAUACGUCUAGAUACAUCCAUUCCUCCGACAAGUAUUUCUGGACAGAAGGAGUAUUUG
rfam:Triticum aestivum genome assembly, contig: Triticum_aestivum_CS42_TGACv1_scaffold_423366_5BS